rnacentral:lncRNA from 1 species
CAAUUCAAUUUUUGUGUGUCCUUGCCAUUAGCCAUGGGAUCAAAUCUUUGGGCAUUGAGAAGCAGCUAAUUCACAAUACUGAUCAAUUAAGUGGAGACACUCAAUGAUCAUCUAUAGAACAGAGAGAACAUCACCCUCCUUCCACCGAAUGGUUCAGUAAAUCUAAUAACUAUGCAGUUUGUUCAAAUCUUUUUUUUUUUUUUUUUGGGAUUAAACUAUCACAGUACAAGCAACACAAAUAAGAAUUACAAAACUUUUAGGCUUUUUGGCCUUGCUCUCUAAUUGUCUUGGUUAUCUAGAAAUGUUGCUAAUUAACAUAACAUUUUCUUGUGUGAACCAAUAAUAAUAUAGAUUAAUUCGAAGGUAAAAGAAGAACAAUCACCCAGAACUAGAACUAGAAUCAAAGCAAUAAAAACAAAUUUGUGAAAAAAUAUCACACAUACAUUUUGCAAUGGGCCUCCAUAAAUGUUUUCUCAGCUAUUAUGCCGAACUUUGUAUUUACUAUUUAGCAAAGCCCAUAAAUUAUUUUGGCAAGGGUUUCCAAAAAUAGAAGUCUUUAUAAACUGUCACAGAUAUACAUCUUGGCUAUGGCAGUUAAUGAUGCAGCACAGCAGCUCAUGAAAAUGCUGAACGUGUUUGAUGUCUGCUACUGCCUUUCCAUCAACAGAUUGUUGGGACUUCGGCACGCCGGCAAAGUACAUCUACACAGUCAACAGUUUUGGCACACAAGUUAAUUAUUGAGAGGAAAAACAAGAAGCCAUGGUUACACAAGGAAACAUGGCAGAAUAAUUAUAUUGUACCUUUGUGGUGAGUGACCGAGUGUUUCUGCUUAUCUUUGCAAUGCACCUUCAACUGGAAAUUUUCAAAUAUUGCUGAUGAAUUUGUUCAAAGUCAUUUUUCUUUUCAAGCCAACACAUACACUACAUACAAAGAGGAACAAAGAUAGUAAUGGCAAAAUCCAUUAAACUACGUACCUCCUUACUAGAGUGCGACACUGAUGGGAGCUUACAACUGGCUUAGAGACAACUCUACUUGCAACCAUUUACCAAUGACUUCCUCUGGUUGGCUUCCAUACAACUUCCUCCAGCGCAUCUCAUGCCACAGCAAACUUUUCACUCCUGCACCUGCAAAAGAUUAGAGAAUGACUUGAUAAACAAAUGCUAUGAUAUUACUCUGAUAUUUGGUAUGGAAUAGCAUCACACGCUUCCUCAUCAAUCCACACAACAUAUUAAAAGUACAAGGAUAUUAUCAGAUCGUCACACAAACUUCAAAUACACAAUGUACCUUUAGAUAUAGAAACUAGAUAUACCUAGCCUACUUGAUCUAUCAGCAUGCUCCAGUGAAAGCUAGUCGGCGAAAAAAUAUUUUAAGACAUGCUAAUCCUACAGAUGACAGGUCGGCUACACACACAAAAAAGGAUUAAAUUCACCAUUUUCAGCUAGGACGAACAAUUUUGGGAAAUCCUAGAGCUGGGGUAUACAAUCGAUUCCGUUACAAACCAAUCAACUCUCCUUAGUGGACUGGGUAUGAAGUGAUAUCUACAAGUAUUGUUAAGUACUAUAUGUUAUUAAUAUUUACCAGUGACUAUCCAAGCUCCACAGCCCUCUUAAAUUCUUGAAGACAACUCGUAGCUGGCACAAAUAGGUGCCUGUUCCUCCUGGCCUAUGACUGUUAGGCAGCAUAAUCAAAAUCUCCAGCUAGGCCCAUACACAGAACACCACAUACUGGGACCACCUUAAAACUACGGUUAGGAGUACAGAUAAUAUCCAAGAGCACCCGUCACAAAUUUCCUGGCGAGGCAUCCUUAACACCAGUUUGUCCUUAAAGUCAAAGGGGGAGAAUAAUGGAAACAUGUCGUAUCAUUGUAUGCAUUUCAUUCCUCUAAGAUAAAACCACAUGUUCUCCUCCUAUUUUAAGUGAAGAAUCACUCCCGUACUAAUAGAGACUGAUGAGUAGGAGUACACAUAUAGCGCUUUCUAUUGAAGCGUCCAUUUCCCAGUCAUGUUUGGUAAACAGAGUAAUGAAUUGAAAUCCAUCUUUUUUUCCUAAUUAACAAGCAAACAAUCCCAGCAACAAAGUGAACAGAAAUCACUAUAGUCCAAACCCUGCUUUUACAAAGAAAAAGGGACUUAAAAAAACACACACACAAUAAAAGUCACUAUCUUUAAUCCAAAAAAAAAAACUUAAUCAUCAACAACUGAAUCGUUUAUGGCUCUAUGGUCUAUAUUUAACAACUCUAACAUGGAAUCCAGUUAAGACCAAUCCUUUACCUGGGGUUUAGACCAAUUUGCCCAUAUUAAAAUAAUGCAACUGAUAAAAAGCAUGGGACUCAUACCAGGAUGCACGGAGAACAUGAACGGCAUGUUGAUAAUUGAUAACAUCAUAAAUAGCACAAUAAAGAUGCGCCUAAAGUAACAAAAAUAGCUCAGAGUACAAUGCUUGGGAUUGGUAUCAUAGGUUUUACAGAGCACCUACCUCUUUAGAAUGCCGAGUACUGCAAAACUUGUUCUUAUACUAUGGGAUGCUAAAACAAGCAAAUAAUUCCAGCAACAAGUAGAAAUCACAUGAGCCAAAUAUGGGAGACUUAAAAUAUGAGCUAAGCUAGAAGAAAAGAAUGUUUUUGGAAUACUGCAGUUCAGUGUAGAAAUAAAAUUCUGAAUUACUAUGAGGGCCUAAACAAAUAAACCAUUAUAGUUAGAAAAGUUAUGUGCAUCAUCAAAGAAAGAUAUCUCGCAAGAAAAACAAACAUGUCUUUUAGCAUAGAUGGUAGAGAAAAGAGUCAUUGAGAUGCCCACCCCAAUCCCAACCCCAAGAAGAAAAAAAAAAGAAGCAAAAAGUAAAAAACAGUACCAUAUUGAUAACAUCCACAAACAAAUUCCCAACUGAACAUAAAUCAAAGAAGAUCCAUUGCUUACACCAUUUCCAAACCAAACCACUAUUACUACCACAGAACCUGCCCAAGGUCCAUCUUGACUUCGAAUUCCUGUUGUCACUCCAAACUAUCGUCAAUACACCUCAAAUCAGCCUCCUAAGCUUAGCUUCAUGAGUACACACAGAAUUGCCGAAGAUUCAAUCAUCAACAAUUUAAUGACCUCGACACAGGCUCCCACAUAUCAACCCCUGGGAUCAAUCGUUUUGUUGACCUUGUCACUUGUUGUCACCCCAACAACAGUGUUGUACACUUACCUCAUGGUUGCCUACGUACCCUUCUUCUAAGGGAUCAAACCACCGUAGUUCACUCCAAUGACAUCUAUACGAUGCCACACCAUUACAAGAAUCCAAGUCAGUCUCUUAGCUUGAGAGAGAAAAUAAAGCUGGCUUCUUCUUCUCUAUAGUAGUAUCUGACAUUCUGACCCUAUCUCAAUCAUCCAAAUUACUAAUCAAGUGUUCUAAUUAGUACCUAACUCGCCAUGACUGCCAUUCGAGCAAACUUUUGUAUACCCACCCAAUUCCAACAAAUUGCUUUCAUCAAGAGUACCAUCCACCCUUAGAGCAACCCAUGGUAUACCCAUCAAUCAAAAAUCCAAAAUCUCUUCUUUAGAUUCAAGAAAUUAAUUAACAAUGUUGUCUGGCCCAGAUAACAAAUAUUGAGAAAAUGGAAAAAAUUGCCGAAACAAAACUUGGAUCGGUUUGUGAGAUAUAUGAAAUUAGUGUAAGUUUGAUGAUAUCCAUGUACCUAAAUCAAACAAAGAACAGAUAAAACCUAGCAAAUUGAACCUUCUCAACACUGCAACAUAACAUGAACAUACCCUAUGUACCCAAAAAGAUUGAUUUCUACUUGUACAUAAAUUACACAAAAAACCAAACCAAAUAGCAAUUAAGCUACAACACUCUAGUAAUCCAUAACGUCUAUGCACAAUUGCACAUAGAUAUACUGAUUCAUAUACCAGAGAUUCUCAAAUCUUACCACUCGGUCUUUUGUUGAAGUAGUAAUGCUGAAGUUGCUUUUUCAUUUACACCUCCGAUGGGUCCCACUGAAAACCCAAUUGAAGAAGAGAUUCACACAAGAGAAAAAUAAUGUGUAAAGAGAAAAACUUAGAGGUUCAUCACAAACAUUUCCUUUGCACCACUAUUUUGUUG